rnacentral:lncRNA from 1 species
AGAAGGAACGUGACUUCCACGAGGCAGCCGCCGGGCUGGCGGGCCCCACGUUCAGGGUUGUGUCUCGGCUGAAAAAAAGGCACGCCCGAACGCUGGGCAGGGAUUACCCGGCCGGACCCGGGAUUGGAAGGGGGCUCGAAGACGCCUUAGCCCCCCGUGAAGAAAAGGCUUCCCUCCCUCCCAGCUCCAAAUACGGUCCCUGUGAUCUGAGAACAUUACGGCGGGCAUAGAGUCGUCUUUUCUUUAAUGGCCGUGUAGUCGCGGCACAGCCGAGGGUUUCUGGAAUUGCCUUAAACGUAUGCGUUUGAAGAGCGUACCCUUUUGUCGGAGCAGUCACCUUGGAGGGACCACGCAGGCUAUGGCAGCCCGGGUUCAGCAUGUUUAGGGCGAGGGUGUGCUCCAUGGGGACCUGCCUUCUGAUCCGUUUUACCAGGCAUAUAUUUAAAAAAAUGUGUCUUCCUUUCCAAGUAUUCACAUCUUUUUCUACUGACCACAAAUCAGAUUUAAUUCAACUCACAUUUAUUGAACAAGCUAGCCUGUUUUGUUUUUUCACUUUAUUCCUGCAACAGCCACGUGAUAGAGGGAUUACUAUCCACGUUUCACAAACGAUAAAAUUGAGGCUGCCACCUGAUGUUACUGAAGUCCUCCACCCACCUUCUUUCGUUCUUUUUUAAGCGUCUACUAUCGGCUGGGGAUGGAAUAGUUCGCGAGUCAGUUUCUGCCUUCUGAUGGAGGCAGAAAUUUAAACAGCCAACACGGUAAAUACUCCAGAGCUGCAAAACCACGAAGUAUUUUGGGAGUGGAAGCAGGGAGAAGGUGGAGGGCUGACUUUCCGCGCACAGGGUACAGGCGAGAAGAGGUGAGAUCUCGGGAAAUGCAGUCAAGUAGUUCAGUAAGACUCGAAUGUGACAUUGGGUUGCAGAGGUGGGCAGUCACUUAGGUAUAUUUAAUUGGAAAUAUAUCCUGAGGGGAAGAGUGAGAAGAGCAAUUUUAGAGUCAUAAGUAGGGAGGGGCAUCUUUUUAAAAAUGGCUGCGGAGUGGAGAAUGGGUUGCAGAGGGGCAAGGAAUGGAAGUAGAGAAAGCAGUUAGGAGGCUAAUGCAGUAUUCCUUACCCCUACCAAUGCCGUCUAGGCCUGUGAGUUCCACCUCCUAAAGGCGUUCUUGAGUCAGUCCUAAACCCUCUAAAUGUCAAUUCAGAGUCUUUUCAUUCCUACUGUCACUA